rnacentral:lncRNA from 1 species
UAGCUUAGUUAUGAUUGAAAAGUUCCUUUUAACAAUAAUUUUUCAUGUUUCUAUGAGGCUAUCACAAAGUGAAAGAUAAUGAUAAUUUGAUUUGGUAGUAGCAGCAGAAAUGAAAAUAAGAAUAAGAAUGAAACAAAAAGGGCACAGUUGACUCAUCAAUAAUUGGCAAAAUAUCAAAUAUAUGAAUUGGGAAACAAUUAGAGGAGAUUCUGAGGAGACUUUUGUUUCAGUAAGCCUAUUGGACAUGGUUUUGGUUAUGAUAUAGUACUUAGCAGUAUUAAAAUUAGUAAUAAUUAGUAGUAAUUUUAGGGUUUAUUACACAUUAUAAUGAGCAAACUUCUCCCUUUUUAACAUGUCUGAUCUUGGAUUUAAUUUUUCUGCUUUUAGUAAGAAACACAUACUAUAUAAGUAUAUAUUAGCAGAAAACCUGUAUAUUAUAC